CUUAACAACCAUAUAGUUAAUUUAUAUAAGUUUGAAAAUAAAAAUAAAGCAAAUGCAUUUUAUAACAUUUAAGGGCAACAAUAGUUAAAAAGAUUGAAACAAUAAAUCUAAGAGGAAAUCGUUUUCAUUACACACUUAUAUAGCACAGGCAAUGCCGGGCAGGGCAGCUUGUAUAAAAUAUAAGACAAUCUUUGAAUUUUGAUACAUAUUUAUGUGCAUACUGGCUUUGUUAGCAAAUUCGAGUGUAACAGGCAAGGAGUGACUAACCAAAUCAAAAAUUGUCGAAUAAUGUACAUGGUUUAGUUAGGCGCUCAAAUUUUUUAAAUAGUUUUAGAUUCAGAGCGUAGCGAGGAAUCUAUUGGUAAUACUAUAAUUUGUUUUUUUUUCUGUUUGUGAUCAAUUUUUC